AAUCAAGAAGAGGUGAGUGAGUUUCGCAAGGUAUGCUACCCUUCCUUUUUUGGCGGUUUUACCUCGUAGUAACUUUCCAGAAAAACGAAAGGGUUAUGAUGAGAGAUUAUGUCAUACCCUGGCACAUGCUUUGUCCAAUGGACCAUGGAAGGGACUUUACUUGGCUGACGAGUACGCAAUGUAUUCUACCCUCAAAAGCAAUAUGAUUUCAGUGAGGGGGACAUGCUCUCUAUCAGGAGGUGGUGGUUGGACAGCUGUUGGAGACCUUUAUGCUUGAAAGCCCUGCAGAACUAGCUGGCUCCUUCUCACCCUCUCCAUCUCCCCAUCUCAGUC